GACGAACGCUGGCGGCGUGCUUAACACAUGCAAGUCGAAGGGAAAGGGCCUGCUUUUGUGGGGUGAUCGAGUGGCGAACGGGUGAGUAACACGUGAGUAACCUGUCCUUGACUUUGGGAAAACGUCAGGAAACUGGAGAUAAUACCGGAUAGGAGUUCCUGCUGCAUGGUGGGGGUUGGAAGGUUUCGGCGGUGGGGGAUGGACUCGCGGAUUAUCUGCUUGUUGUUGGGGUGGUGGCUCACCAAGGCUUUGACGGGUCGCCGGCCUGAGAGGGUGAGCGGCCACAUUGGGACUGUGAUACACCCCACACUCCUACGGGGGGCAGCAGUGUGGGAUAUUGCACAAUGGGCGGACGCCUGUUGCAGCACCGCCGCGUGUGCAAUAACGGCCUUUGGGUUGUAUACCGUUUUCGCCGGUGACGAAGAGUGAGUGACGGUAAUUGGUAAAGAAGCACCGGCUAACUACGUG
rnacentral:rRNA from 1 species